UGGGUGAUCUGCCCUGCACUUUGGGAUAAGCCUGGGAAACUGGGUCUAAUACCGGAUAUACCCUGCUGGUCGCAUGGCCUGGUGGGGGAAAGCUUUUGCGGUGUGGGAUGGGACCGCGGCCUAUCAGCUUGUUGGUGGGGUGAUGGCCUACCAAGGCGACGACGGGUAGCCGGCCUGAGAGGGUGUCCCGGCCACACUGGGACUGAGAUACGGCCCAGACUCCGUACGGGAGCA
rnacentral:rRNA from 1 species